rnacentral:rRNA from 1 species
AACGAACGCUGGCGGCAUGCCUAACACAUGCAAGUCGAACGAGACCUUCGGGUCUAGUGGCGCACGGGUGCGUAACGCGUGGGAAUCUGCCCUUGGGUUCGGAAUAACAGUUAGAAAUGA